rnacentral:rRNA from 1 species
UAAUUCAUGCAAGUAGAACGCUGAAGACUUUAGCUUGCUAAAGUUGGAAGAGUUGCGAACGGGUGAGUAACGCGUAGGUAACCUGCCUACUAGCGGGGGAUAACUAUUGGAAACGAUAGCUAAUACCGCAUAACAGCAUUUAACCCAUGUUAGAUGCUUGAAAGGAGCAAUUGCUUCACUAGUAGAUGGANNNGCGUUGUAUUAGCUAGUUGGUGAGGUAACGGCUCACCAAGGCGACGAUACAUAGCCGACCUGAGAGGGUGAUCGGCCACACUGGGACUGAGACACGGCCCAGACUCCUACGGGAGGCAGCAGUAGGGAAUCUUCGGCAAUGGGGGCAACCCUGACCGAGCAACGCCGCGUGAGUGAAGAAGGUUUUCGGAUCGUAAAGCUCUGUUGUAAGAGAAGAACGUGUGUGAGAGUGGAAAGUUCACACAGUGACGGUAACUUACCAGAAAGGGACGGCUAACUACGUGCCAGCAGCCGCGGUAAUACGUAGGUCCCGAGCGUUGUCCGGAUUUAUUGGGCGUAAAGCGAGCGCAGGCGGUUUAAUAAGUCUGAAGUUAAAGGCAGUGGCUUAACCAUUGUUCGCUUUGGAAACUGUUAGACUUGAGUGCAGAAGGGGAGAGUGGAAUUCCAUGU